rnacentral:tRNA from 2 species
GGGCGGUUAGCUCAGCUGGAAGAGCGUCUGGUUUACACCCAGAAGGUCGGCGGUUCGAACCCGUCACCGCCCACCA